CAUUCUUUCGGUUAAAGGCAGCGGAAGGGUCAACGUAGGCCUCGAACGAAGGCGGAACUUUGUGCCCCAUAAGACGAUGCCGCAAGUACGGCUUGGCUUACAUGGCUUGGAGGCGACAAGAAGCAACGAGAUAACACCAAGCGGCGAAAGACGGAAUGUCGACGUCUGCGAGAUAGUGAGCAGAACGCGGUGAGCAGACGGCUCGUUAGUACCUUCAGAGACAAGCCUAUAGAUCGACAACCAUUGCCAUUGGUGAUGUCGGCUGCCUAGGCGUAAAGAAACGCGUCGAUCUUGGUGCUCGAAAGAGAUGAUCCGGAUUCGGUGUGGACCUGGUAUUUUGCUGCGGUUCUGCGACGCCUUCUUAUACGUGCUGCAAGGCCUCACCCUGGUACUUCUCGUGGUCACUGAAGUCAUGCGAUGAUUGCAGCUGUUUCCUCCCGGCAAGCUGUCGUGCUCUGAAGCCAGCCGAAACAAUAAAGGUACCUGCAGAUGUUAACAUGAGCCAUUCCAUGUUCAUCAACACCUUUGUGAACACAAGUCCAUUGAAUAUCCUACCGAGACACGGAAAGAAGAGGUCGAACAAUCACGGUGCCGCUAUACACCCCCUCCUCAUG